GCGCAGAUAAACGAGGUCUCUAUGCACUCGGGACUAGAUGUUGCACUUGUCAAUAACUUUCUCAGUCCCCUGAGGGUCACUUCAUGUCCACUGCAGCCAGUAAACUGGCGCACUUUCAUCUGUCAUGAAAUACUCCUUUCAGUGUGUGUGUUCCAAAGCUGUUUAAUCCAAUGACCGGGCUUAGCAAUAUGCACUAUAUAGGUUUAUAUGCAUCAUUAUUAUUAUUAUUAUAAACAAAUAAAAAAAGACAAGCUAAACAAAACUAUAACUAUUUAUUUGAUUAUCAAUCAAUCAACAAAUAUAUUAUGUAUAGCGCCAAUAUCUAAGACAGGAUGCAAAGUUCAGUGGCACUAUGACACUACUGAGGAUAGUUAACUAUACUAUUGUUGUAAGAUUACGAAAAAAUGAAAUAAAAAUAACAAUGACGUGUGUCAAAAAACGUAGUAUGCGAAGGAGAAUAGAUACAAUUUUAACUUUUUCUGACAGAAAGAUGAGGUUUUAAUCUCAAGAGGUAAGGGCAUUCCAUAAUGUAGGGGCGGCACACGAGAAAUUACUUUUACCAUAGAGAAAAUAGAAUUCUUUAUGCUUUCACUUAGGUGUUUAUGUCUCCACCUGAAUUCCCCAAGAAGGUGCUUGUUGAAUGUUCAAAGAAAGCGAGGAGAAGACUUAGGUUGGAGGAGAUUGGGUAAUGAAAAUAAUUCAGAAUCUUAAUGUUAAUAUAAAUUGGUUGGUGUCACAGAGUGGACCUUAUAAUGCGUUACACUCACUGUAUAGUGCAUCAGCGUAAUAAAUAUUCAUGAUUUAAUGGUUGUGUUCAUUGUGUAGAAUCAGUAUAAUGAAUAUACAUGAGUUAAUGGUUGAUUUAGCAUUACUCCAGGGUAGUUGAAAGUUUUAUGAAUAUGAAUAACUUUUAGGCAAGUGGCAACUUCUGAUAAGUGUAGAGAAAAUGGGUGGGGGAAUAUUAUGUUAAUUUGUGUUAGCAGGGGUAGGCUUGAUAGAGAAACCAGAAGGGAGAGGUAGUUGCAUAAGGAAAGGCUUAAUGGAAGGGUGUAAGCUGUGGAAUAUGAUUCAAGCAGGGACAUGUCAGUUAUUAAGGUGCACCAAAGAUUAAGCAAAGUUAAGAGGCAUAGUGAAGCCUACCUAAAUGAUAUAUGGUGAUAGCUAGGAGCAUCACAGUAUUGUGCAACUCAUAUAUAAGAGCCAAGUGGAGUUAGUUUGACCAUGGUCAGAGGAGUACAGCUUGAACUUCAACGACAGGCUUAAAACUUAAGAAGAAAUUGAAGGUUUCAAGCAGCUGAAGUAAGAGCUGAUAUUUAUUUCAUUCAGAACCAACUUGUGUGGUGUGACAAGUAGUGACCCAGGAGAACGUCACAUGUUUGGCUUCUCAUCUGUAUAUAGCGCAGGGUAUUAUGAUGCGAACUGAAUGUUCGACAUAUUAUUUUAUUAAACACCUUAUUUGAAUUUAUAA